UUCAUCAUACAUUGAAUAUGUUUUUUUUAAAUCUUUAUUUUAAGAGAUUAUUCGCUUGGCGAAUAUGCCUCUCUAUAUAG